rnacentral:lncRNA from 1 species
AUGCAGGUGAAUAAAUCUCCAGGUGUGGACCUUAAAGACUUUGGUUUUGCUCCAAAACCUUCUCUUCCCAGUAUAGCAAGGUCAGAAUAUUUAAACACACCUGAAUUGCCUGUAAUGGAGCAGAGGGAUCAGCAUGAGAUCUAUACAAAAAGUCAGCAACAACAACCAUCUGCAUAUCAAGACAAAGAAGUUUUGAAAGUGAACUUUGAAUUCGGAAAUGAAAUUUGGGAUGACUUUGAUGAUGAAAACUUAGUAGAAAUUACUAGCUUUUCAGCUGAAACUGAGAAGACAAAAACAUCAGGAUUUGGAAACACUUUGAGUUCAAGUACUGGGGAAAGUAAGCUACCAUUCCAAGAAUCAAAAGGCCAAUUCCAAAGAGAAACGUCUAAGAGUUUUGUCUCAUCACAUGAGAAGCCAGAUAUUUAUUUAUCAAAUUCUGCUGUGUCCAAGUUUGGUGCAUCCUCCAUGACACAAUUACCUCAACAAUCUGGAAAUGCAAGUAUUAUAAGAAGAAACACUUCUCUCUUUUUUAUUUUAAAUACUGCCUGAAGAGUUAAACCUUCAAUGGUUGCUGACUUUUUUAACCUCAAAAUAUAGGUCCAUUUACAAGAAAGAAAACAACAAAGUCUGUCACCAGAGAUUGAAAAGCUAUGCUUUACUCGCUCUGAAAAAAUAUCAAACUCUUCAAAUUUUAAUAAGAAAGUGGAUUGCUUUAUUAGAAAUGAAUGCAAAAAGGAGAUUGAUUUCAGGUAAGAACUCUUUAAAAAUAUUUUAAGACUAUACAAGUGAAAGCUUUCUACAAAGAAUUUCAGCAUUCCUUUUCCCUUGGUUCAUUUUAAGGAUCAGAACCUAAAUGUUUUAUUUACUUAAAGAUGUAAAAAUUUUAGACCGCUGGUAAGCUAAGCUCCUUAAGAUAAUUCAAAAUAUCAAAUAUCUCAAUUUUUGAGAACCUAUGUUUUUGAUGCUAGUAAUUAAAACACUGUGUUACAUUGAUAAACUUUUUUAUUAAUUUGAAUACAAUACGUUGAUAAUAUGAAAUAUGAGGUCACUUGAGAAAUGAGAUCAGCUAAUUUUUCUAAUGUUCUAGUUGUAUUUCAGCCCCCAAGUUCUGUUAUAAUUCUACAAGUUCAAAGAAGAAGUCCGGUUAAGUCUAAUCAGUGCCCCUACUGCUGAUUGUUUUUAUGGUUACUUUUAGCAGUUUCCCUCUUCCUCUUGAAUAGUCAAGGUUUCGAGACCUGUUGACAGUGAUUAAAUGGUGCUACUUUCUAAUAUGUCUAAAGAAAUAUCUAUCUAAUAUACUUGUCUCUACCUUUCAUAGUUCAUGAAUUCUAAUUUCCUCCAGACUUCCUAUAAGAUUAUGCCUGUUGAAGUUCAUUUGAUAAAUUACCUCUCAGCAAUCUUCAAGUUUAUCCAUUUUAUAUUUUUAGUACAUUAUUUAUUAUAAAUCUGUGUUAUAAAAAUAGUUACUUUUACAUUUGCUUUUCCCCCCAGUAGGUAUCAUCCUGAUGAUGAAGCUGAUGAAAUAAAGUCUUUUCUGGGAAUAUUUGAUGGUAUUUUCUAAAACAGACAAAAAUGCUUUUUAUAUUAACAAGACAAAGUAUGAAGACACCUUACAAAGCAUGAUUUUUAUUUUUAAAAAGUAGUUCAUACUUGUUCAGAUUUUUUUUUUCUUGGAUUUGACCAACUUUGUUGGCUUUUUUUGCAACAAAAUAUUUGGACUGAUUUUUCCCCCAUAAUAUUGUAACUUCAUGAAAAGCACUUUUAUGGUGGCUUUGUUUCAUAAGCUGAUAAUUAAGCUUCAUUUAGAAAUAAUUAUUUGGUUAUUAAUUGGAUUUAGACCAGAACCAAUAUAAUAUUUUCUUAAGAAGAAAUUCUGUGAAGACCAAAUGUUUGUAGGUCAGUAAAUCUAUUUAUUGUAUCAAUUUUUCACCAUUAAUUUACUAAAGGACUUUUUUUUUUUACUAAAGAUUGUUGAGAAUCCAGUGGCUGUCUGAACCUAUUCUUAUAUCAUUUCAAGCAACAAUAAAGGAAACGUUAAUCAGUGUAGACUGUCUUCCUUUAACUUGUUUUUUAAUGUGGUGAAUUCUAAAACUUUGUUAUGUUGAUUUUUAAUACAGCAAAAGUUAUUUGAUAUUAUUUUCCAGUGAGUUAUCUCUCAGAUUUCUUUAUUAAUAAGUAGUAUUAUAGGCACUCUGCUGCUGCUGCUGCUAAGUUGCUUCAGUUGUGUCCGACUCUGUGCAAGCCCAUAGACGGCAGCCCACCAGGCUCCCCAGUCCCUGGGAUUCUCCAGGCAAGAACACUGGAGUGGGUUGCCAUUUCCUUCUCCAAUGCAUGAAAGUGAAAAGUGAAAGUGAAGUCGCUCAGUCGUGUUUGA